rnacentral:tRNA from 1 species
AGCCGGGUGGUGUAAGGGCAACACAGCGGGUUUUGGUCCCGUUAUUGAGGGUUCGAAUCCUUCCCCGGCUG